UCAAGAAACUUCCACAAUGGGCGAAAGCCUGAUGGAGCGACGUCGCGUGAUGGACGAAGUGCUUCGGCACGUAAACAUCUUUUAUGUGGGAUGAAAUUAUUGACAGUACCACAUGAAUAAGGGGCUCCUAACUCUGUGCCAGCAGGAGCGGUAAUACAGAGGCCCCAAGCGUUAUCCGGAAUCACUGGGCGUAAAGGGUGUCGAGGCGGUUGUAUUAGUCGUUCGUAAAAUCUACGAGCUUAACUUGUAGGCGGCGAACGAAACGGUACGACUUGAGGUUUGGAGAGGUGCGUGGAACUCACGGUGUAGGGGUGAAAUCCGUUGAUAUCGUGGGGAACACCAAAGGCGAAGGCAGCGCACUGGCCAAAAUCUGACGCUCACACACGAAAGCUAGGGUAGCGAAGAGGAUUAGAUACCCAAGUAGUCCCUGAGCGGGCUGGCAAGGC
rnacentral:rRNA from 1 species